UCAAUGUAGCAUGCAAUGGAGAGCCUACAAAACAAGCUAAGAGAAACCAAAACAAAACAAAAAGAACAAAAGAGAAAAAUAAAAGAUAAAAAAUGGAAUAAAAAAAAAUAAAAAAAAAUGGAGAAUCGGUAAAGAGAACUUCACCAAUCUUGUGAUGUGGAUCACAAGGGUUAAUCCUCACCAAAGAAAAUGCCUCAAUCACCUUGGC
rnacentral:lncRNA from 1 species